AGUCGAACGGGAUCCUUGGCAGCUUGCUGCCGGGGUGAGAGUGGCGAACGGGUGAGUAAUGCGUGACCGACCUGCCCCAUGCACCGGAAUAGCUCCUGGAAACGGGUGGUAAUGCCGGAUGUUCCACAUGAGCGCAUGCGAGUGUGGGAAAGGCUUUUUGCGGCAUGGGAUGGGGUCGCGUCCUAUCAGCUUGUUGGUGGGGUAACGGCCUACCAAGGCGUUGACGGGUAGCCGGCCUGAGAGGGCGACCGGCCACAUUGGGACUGAGAUACGGCCCAGACUCCUACGGGAGGCAGCAGUGGGGAAUAUUGCACAAUGGGCGCAAGCCUGAUGCAGCGACACCGCGUGCGGGAUGGAGGCCUUCGGGUUGUAAACCGCUUUUGUUCAAGGGCAAGGCACGGUUUCGGCCGUGUUGAGUGGAUUGUUCGAAUAAGCACCGGCUAACUACGUGCCAGCAGCCGCGGUAAUACGUAGGGUGCAAGCGUUAUCCGGAUUUAUUGGGCGUAAAGGGCUCGUAGGCGGUUCGUCGCGUCCGGUGUGAAAGUCCAUCGCUUAACGGUGGAUCCGCGCCGGGUACGGGCGGGCUUGAGUGCGGUAGGGGAGACUGGAAUUCCCGGUGUAACGGUGGAAUGUGUAGAUAUCGGGAAGAACACCAAUGGCGAAGGCAGG
rnacentral:rRNA from 1 species